GGGCUCUUCGGUUAUGGUCAAGGAGCGGUAUGCAUCUUCGUUCGUCUCCAUUACGUGCUCUUCGGCUAUGAUUGAGGAUGAAUACGGGCUUCCAUUCGAUCUUCAACAUGUGUUCCUUGGCUACCACCGAGGACCGAAUGCCCUAAGCUCGACCUUCUACCUAUCGAACUAUGAUAGUUGUUUCACUUGAAGAUAAUCGAUUUCCACUCCUCACUGUCAAGAAAAUGACCUAAAGGUGAUGAACGGCCUCGCAAUGCUUGAUAUAGGUCGAACAUCGAACCCAGUUACAAUAAAGUGGCCGAUCU
rnacentral:lncRNA from 1 species